AUACGGAGGAUGCGAGCGUUAUCCGGAUUUAUUGGGUUUAAAGGGAGCGUAGGUGGGAUAUUAAGUCAGCUGUGAAAGUUUGGGGCUCAACCUUAAAAUUGCAGUUGAUACUGGUUUCCUUGAGUACGGUACAGGUGGGCGGAAUUCGUGGUGUAGCGGUGAAAUGCUUAGAUAUCACGAAGAACUCCGAUCGCGAAGGCAGCUCACCGGGCCGGGAAUGACACUGAUGCUCGAAAGUGCGGGUAUCAAACAGGAUUAGAUACCCUGGUAGUCCGCACAGUAAACGAUGAAUACUCGCUGUUUGCGAUACACUGUAAGCGGCCAAGCGAAAGCGUUAAGUAUUCCACCUGGGGAGUACGCCGGCAACGGUGAAACUCAAAUGAAUUGACGGGU
rnacentral:rRNA from 1 species